CGCAUACAAACGCGGAAGUAGCGGCGUUCCGAUCCGUGCAGCGUGGCAAUGAAACGAGCAGGGAACGCACUGCCCUGCUGUGCGGGACUCACUGCCCUGUGCUGCGCGGCGAGGGAGAGGGGAAAGGUCUGAGAGCAGUUACUGCGGUUGGCAUUCUCCUCCCCAGUGUGUGUCAGUGAAGGAAGUUCACUUUGAGGAUGAGUGAGGAAGAGCCCUGGAUGAAGUCAAAGGCUGUCAGUGGGGCUGUCGUGGUGCUAAAAGGACGCUGGGCAGUAGAAGAGAUCGUGGCAUAGAAGACUGGAAACCUCAUAAAUCACUGCCUGAGUGAGGUUUUGUUUCGAAAGGAACACUCAGAUGCUUUUUGGUGUCCUGAAUUACUUUACAACUCGAGGUGGAAGUUGGAGUCUCGGGUCCAAUAUCCCAGAGCCACAGCUGAUGCUGCACCCAGGAGUCCAGGCUGUGCUCAGGAAUUACGCCAAGAUGGGAAGCUGCUGUUGGUCUUCAAGGAGGGCUCCAGCCUGAGCAAUGGGAAUGGGGUGGGGGACAGGGAGACCCUCAUGUGCUCUCUCCUGCUGCAGCAGGACCAGAGAAGGGCAGAUGAGAAGCUGCAGCUGAGCCUGAUGGACCUGCACAACUGCAAAAGUCCCGGUGGUGUGGCUGUCAGCAGAGGAAGGCGUAUCAAAUCCAUCUGUGUUACUAUGAGCACACAAGGACCAUGGAGUGAAGAUUCAACCAGUAACCAGGCUGUAUCAAACCAGAAGGUGUUACAGAGAUCACCUGCAGUGCUUCAGGGGCCACAGAAGAGGCUGUUCAAUGAAUUCAGUAUCUGACUUCUUACUCCUCCCUAUGUGAGCUGCAGUGGCUGUUUUUGUUGUUCUUCGAUCCCGGAGAAAUGACACUGUAAACAUUCAAGCCUUUGAGCAAACGAAGCGUCAGAAGGAAGACAACAAAACCCUCAGUGAGUGUUGCUGGAAGAAUAACAGCAGUGUGCAUUGAGUCUGCAGUAAAUACUGCUGGUGUGAUGUGUAACGUCAGGCAGUUAUGAAGGUCGGUUGGGACGAUGCUGGUGAAGUGGUGCUGAGAGCUGAAGGGAGACUGGAUUCCUGAUUUCUGCUGCUGAGAAACAGCCACGGAGGGAGGCAGUGGAAUGGAAAACAGGUUGGGGCUCAAAGCCCAGUUUAGAAAGAAAGGCGUUCUCAAGCAUCUUCAGGACGCCGCAGCUCUGACAGCAAUCCCUGCUCACAGCAAUUUGUCCUUCUGGGUUCUCAGAAACCUCAGGAAUUCAGGACAGGAUGGAGAACUGAGUGCUCUAACAAAUGAGAUUUCCCUUCACCAGCCCCACGUGGACCUCGCUUCUGACUUUUCCACAUGCAGGAAAGUGACCUCGCAGCUGCAGGUGCUUCCAGUGUUUGUUCUGGGAUGAAUAACGGUGGGAUCUGCCCCUCUGUCCCUCUCUGUUCUUUGCAGGAUGUGGUUUCUCACAGCGAAAAGCUUUCUAAGGAGAACAAGAAGCAAAAGGGAGGUUUGAAAGCUUUGAGCGAAUAGGAGAAGAAAUGCUGGCAGUCUGUUGGCAGCUGUUCUGCUUCCUUCAGGAGUGCCAGCAGGCUGUGAGCUCGGGCUUUGCAGGCCAGGGCAGCUGACACAGAGGGCUCUGAAUGUUCAAAAAGGAACGAGAAGGCUGAGAAUCAGGUGCUUUGUUUUUACCAGCUGUCCUCCCUAAGGAUCCUGCCUGUCUGAGGCAUGUUUGGUGGCUUUGGCUGGAGCUGAGCUUGGUGCUCAUGGCUUCAGUCCUCUGUGAUACAGAGCUGCACCACCGGCUGCCCACACCAAACAUGCGUGUUGUUGGAGGAGAUUACUACAUGCAUUUUGUUUUUUUAGAGUGUGAGAUGCUGUGUGACUGUGGAACCAAACUCUGUGACGCAGGUGAGAUUACAAAGCAGGUGUGGUUCAUUCAGUGCUGCACAGACACCGGGUGCAGGGGGCAUCGAUCCGCCUGACUUGGAAAGUCGUGCUGCAGAUACAGGCUGAACUCAGGCAUCGUCAGGAGUUUCCCUGGAUUCGGAUCCAUAUUCAUUACACCCCGACAGUUCAUUAGUGUGCACACCCUCCCCUCUUGAGUGUGGAUAGUGGGUCGUGGGAUGAAGAUUUGUUGUUUUCCUUGCAAAGGCUUCUGACCGUUUUUGCUGUCAACUCCUGGCCUUUCAGGGGGGCAUCCCCCAAACCGGUUUCUUCUCACGCUGUGGACAUCAAAACCCCUCCCUGCCAAAUGUCCUCGGGCUGUUCUCAAACCUUAUCUUUAUGGCCUUCAUCCCUCUCACUAUCCCAGACACAGGGUCUGCCAUCCCUUAUUUUCUAACAAGCUCUACAUUCCUGCUUCUAUCAACUAUCUCUAACUAUUCCCCUUCACCCCCUUAUUCUCAGUCACUGAAGCCUUCUUGCCUUUUGACUUUCACUUGUGGGCCCGUCUCACCUUUCAGCAUGCCUUCAAACAGUCCACGUCUACAAGAAACUUCUUUUUCUCUUUUCUUCUUUUUUCCUUCUUCCCUUGGAGCAGCAGCUCAGGGAAAUGUGGAUGCUUUCUUCUCUGCUGCUGUGCUUCCCAUAGCAGUAUUCCAGGAAUGGCUUCUGUCAUUGAUUGCUUUCUUGCUUAUUUUAAAUACUGAAGGGAACUUACUGUUCUUUUCUUCUACCCACAUAAAACUCAGUUUUUUUCCAUUGUAGUUUCGAGUUGUGCUCUCGAAUGGAAUGUACAGCUGGAUCUACAACAGCUGCCAAGGAGCCUGCAGGCAAACGGUGAUGGAUUUCCCAGGCGAUGCUGAGACGCCUCCUGCUGACCUUGGCAUACCUCGUGCUUCAUAUUAAUUCUUCCCUUGGGUUAAAAGCAGACCAAAUCCUCGAAGCCGUGCCUGGGAAUCCUGCUGUUACUGGAAUGGUUCAGCCAUUCAGUCAGAGCGCCCUGCAGCAGAUCCUGGCAUUGGUUGUGAAUGGGAGAACUCGCAACAGAUCGCUCGAUCUCAAAACCAAUCCGGUGGAUAUGGACGAGCCUCGGGCGCCCCGUGUGGGAUCCCAGCAUGGGGAGGCCGCAUAUGGAAGCUCUUCCUGCUGUGCUUCUGCUAAGAGUUGCUCGGCUGUUUUAUGUUGCUCUGUUAAUUGCUCCAAGCCAUCCUUGGGUUUGCUGCACAUCUCUGUCUGAUUGAUACCAGCUUUUUCGUCACCUCAGACACUGGCUGAAAAAAAAUAAAAAUAAUAAUAAAUAAAUAAAGCA